rnacentral:rRNA from 1 species
GAUGAACGCUGGCGGCGUGCUUAACACAUGCAAGUCGAACGGAAAGGCCCUGCUUUUGUGGGGUGCUCGAGUGGCGAACGGGUGAGUAACACGUGAGUAACCUGCCCUUGACUUUGGGAUAACUUCAGGAAACUGGGGCUAAUACCGGAUAGGAGCUCCUGCUGCAUGGUGGGGGUUGGAAAGUUUCGGCGGUUGGGGAUGGACUCGCGGCUUAUCCGCUUGUUGGUGGGGUAGUGGCUUACCAAGGCUUUGACGGGUAGCCGGCCUGAGAGGGUGACCGGCCACAUUGGGACUGAGAGACGGCCCAGACUCCUACGGGAGGCAGCAGUGGGGAAUAUUGCACAAUGGGCGGAAGCCUGAUGCAGCAACGCCGCGUGCGGGAUGACGGCCUUCGGGUUGUAAACCGCUUUCGCCUGUGACGAAGCGUGAGUGACGGUAAUGGGUAAAGAAGCACCGGCUAACUACGUG